rnacentral:lncRNA from 1 species
CCGCUCGACGGGACAUCCGAUUACCCCGUGCUAAACAGCACCUCCCAUCCCGGCGCUUCGUCCCACGAAGACACUCCACUCCGGGACCUCUCCCUGUCACAUGUACCCGCCACAGGUAUCUCUCGUGGAGAACGCCCAGGUAGCGUCCCCCGGCAAGACUUGUCCCAAGACUCGUCGUAGAUCCUGCUCGGUCGACUCGACCCUCACCACACACCCAAGACACACGCCAAGAUCUCCCCAAAUCCAUUAUCCAUUUCUUAUCCAGUUAUCGGCACCACGUGCCU